UACGGAGGUGGCAAGCGUUGCUCGGAAUCACUGGGCAUAAAGGGCGCGUAGGCGGGGAGGUAAGUCGGGUGUGAAAUCCCUCGGCCCAACCGAGGAACUGCGCCCGAGACUGCUUCUCUUGAGUCCCGGAGAGGAAGAUGGAAUUCCCGGUGUAGCGGUGAAAUGUGUAGAGAUCGGGAGGAACACCGGUGGCGAAGGCGGCGACCUGGGACAAUACUGACGCUGAGGUGCGAAAGCGUGGGGAGCAAACAGG
rnacentral:rRNA from 1 species